rnacentral:rRNA from 1 species
CGGGCUUGAGUGCGGUAGGGGAGACUGGAAUUCCCGGUGUAACGGUGGAAUGUGUAGAUAUCGGGAAGAACACCAAUGGCGAAGGCAGGUCUCUGGGCCGUUACUGACGCUGAGGAGCGAAAGCGUGGGGAGCGAACAGGAUUAGAUACCCUGGUAGUCCACGCCGUAAACGGUGGAUGCUGGAUGUGGGGCCCGUUCCACGGGUUCCGUGUCGGAGCUAACGCGUUAAGCAUCCCGCCUGGGGAGUACGGCCGCAAGGCUAAAACUCAAAGAAAUUGACGGGGGCCCGCACAAGCGGCGGAGCAUGCGGAUUAAUUCGAUGCAACGCGAAGAACCUUACCUGGGCUUGACAUGUUCCCGACGGUCGUAGAGAUACGGCUUCCCUUCGGGGCGGGUUCACAGGUGGUGCAUGGUCGUCGUCAGCUCGUGUCGUGAGAUGUUGGGUUAAGUCCCGCAACGAGCGCAACCCUCGCCCCGUGUUGCCAGCGGAUUAUGCCGGGAACUCACGGGGGACCGCCGGGGUUAACUCGGAGGAAGGUGGGGAUGACGUCAGAUCAUCAUGCCCCUUACGUCCAGGGCUUCACGCAUGCUACAAUGGCCGGUACAACGGGAUGCGACGCGGCGACGCGGAGCGGAUCCCUGAAAACCGGUCUCAGUUCGGAUCGCAGUCUGCAACUCGACUGCGUGAAGGCGGAGUCGCUAGUAAUCGCGAAUCAGCAACGUCGCGGUGAAUGCGUUCCCGGGCCUUGUACACACCGCCCGUCAAGUCAUGAAAGUGGGCAGCACCCGAAGCCGGUGGCCUAACCCCUUGUGGGAUGGAGCCGUCUAAGGUGAGGCUCGUGAUUGGGACUAAGUCGUAACAAGGUAGCCGUACCGGAAGGUGCGGCUG